rnacentral:rRNA from 1 species
AUUGAACGCUGGCGGGAGGCCUAACACAUGCAAGUCGAACGAGUGGCGGACGGGUGAGUAAUGUAUGGGAACCUGCCUGAUGGAGGGGGAUAACUACUCGAAACGGUAGCUAAUACCGCAUACCAUCGGAUCGGCCCAGAUGGGAUUAGCUAGUAGGUGGGGUAAAGGCUCACCUAGGCGACGAUCCCUAGCUGGUCUGAGAGGAUGACCAGCCACACUGGAACUGAGACACGGUCCAGACUCCUACGGGAGGCAGCAGUGGGGAAUAUUGCACAAUGGGCGCAAGCCUGAUGCAGCCAUGCCGCGUGUAUGAUGAAGGCCUUCGGGUUGUAAAGUACUUUCAGCGGGGAAGCGGUACCCGCAGAAGAAGCACCGGCUAACUCCGUGCCAGCAGCCGCGGUAAUUC